rnacentral:rRNA from 1 species
GAUGAACGCUGGCGGCGUGCCUAAUACAUGCAAGUCGAGCGAACAGACGAGGAGCUUGUUCCCCUGACGUUAGCGGCGGACGGGUGAGUAACACGUGGAUAACCUACCUAUAAGACUGGGAUAACUUCGGGAAACCGGAGCUAAUACCGGAUAAUAUAUUGAACCGCAUGGUUCAAUAGUGAAAGACGGUUUUGCUGUCACUUAUAGAUGGAUCCGCGCCGCAUUAGCUAGUUGGUAAGGUAACGGCUUACCAAGGCAACGAUGCGUAGCCGACCUGAGAGGGUGAUCGCCCACACUGGAACUGAGACACGGUCCAGACUCCUACGGGAGGCAGCAGUAGGGAAUCUUCCGCAAUGGGCGAAAGCCUGACAGAGCAACGCCGCGUGAGUGAUGAAGGUCUUCGGAUCGUAAAACUCUGUUGUUAGGGAAGAACAAAUGUGUGAGUAACUAUGCACGUCUUGACGGUACCUAAUCAGAAAGCCACGGCUAACUACGUG